rnacentral:lncRNA from 8 species
GGCCAAUGCAGAGAACAGAUUGACCAUGUAUCGUCUUUAGUUUAUCACAUUCUCAUUGGUUAAUGGGUCGUACCCUGAGAUUGUCCGAGCCAACCCAGAGAAACACAAAAUCCUGUUUGGCCAAACAUAGAAGACAAUGCUGACUUCCCAUAAAUCAAUGCGAAUGCAUGCCAUAUAAAUUCAACCUCCACGGUUCCACUGGUUUCCUUCGCCUCUUGGGUCUUAAAGAAAGAUUAUAAUCGUGGCUUGUAUUGUAUAUGCCAACUUUUUGUAUUCUGUGAAGCACAUGCAUGUUGCUCCUCUUGAAUAGCUAUGGCUAUUAAACGUGUCAAUCUUGGGCAAGGAUCUAGUUAGGCCUACUAGCUAGCGAGUGGAAAACAACCAAACUUCACCACGUAUCGUGGACAAGCUCCGUUUUCAGGAAUAUCCUCGUGGCUCAACUUCGGUAUUGGGGAGAAGUACGUCAAGUGGAAUAUGCAAAAUUAAGUAUGCACGAUUAUCAGGGUCGUAACAUCCACGGUAUUAGCAUGGUUUGGUGUAACCCAAGAUUGAGACCUGUCCCACUGAUGACCCCAUUUCUUACUCUCGACCUGUCAGAAUGACAAAUCUUCAACCACCUAUUGCAUGUUCUGAGGCAUAGCACGAGUAUGACAUAUCUGUUAAGCACUUUUAUUAAACUAUAUUUUCCCCUUUUACAGCUGCAGACGUUAAUCUGUAUUUCCCCACUUAAUCUCAUAGCAAUUGUCGCAUGUACCCUAAAUGAUUAGGUUCAUAAACAUUGGUGAUCUCUCAAAAAUAAAUGUUUUUAUUGGCAGUGCAGUUUAAUUUAGUUCAGCUCUUCUGGUCUCUGAGCCGAAAUGUAAUAUGCCUUAACUGCAGAUGGUUUACAUGGUAUGAAUGAAAUUAUCUGGACGUGUUAUGGUAAAUUACCUUGUGCACUCAACCAACGUGAGACUACUAUCAUCUGAUACAAUGAUGACUGCAUAGUUAAGCAGAUGAACCAUGAUGAAUAUUUAGCGUUGUCUUUCGCUCCUAUCUGAUGUUGGGUUGAUUAGGUCUUUGACCCCUCACUGCAUAGGGAAGCAUCUAAAGUAGUCUUCCCUGUGGCUCAGUUGGUAGAGCAUGGUGUGUGCAACGCCAGCAUGGUGUGGGUUUGAUUCCCACGGGGGGCCGCGACAAAAAAAAAUGUAUGAAAUGUAUGCAUUCACUACUGUAAGUCACUCUGGAUAAGAGCGUCUGCUAAAUGGCUAAAAUGUAAAAAAAAAAGGUCAUUUCCAUUAGCUUCUGAAAGAAAUACAAACACUGGACAAAGUUGAAAUGGUUUGCCUAGGGUAACAUUUUUGACACUGACUGCAUUGUUCAGCUGAUUCUGUGACAAAGUAUCUUUUUUACCUGUGCUGUAUCCUUCAAACUGACUAGUCAUUAUUUGCUGUACUACCUUAACAGGUUCUUUACAGGACUCUGCAGGUGUCCUGAUGACCACAAGGUAUGACAGGAUCCUAGUGGCUGAAUGAUGUAAGCUACAAAGAUCCAAAAUGAACUGGCAGUAAAAGGCAGUACUCUCUGAAAGGAUGACAUAGAAUCAGGUCUCUGAUCUUGUUGAG